GAUGAAGAACGUAGCGAAAUGCGAUAAGUAAUGUGAAUUGCAGAAUUCAGUGAAUCAUCGAAUCUUUGAACGCACAUUGCGCCCGUCAGUAUUCCGGCGGGCAUGCCUGUUCGAGCGUCAUUACGCCCCUCAAGUCCCCUGUGGACUUGGUGUUGGGGAUCGGCGAGGCUGGUUUUCCAGCACAGCCGUCCCUUAAAUUAAUUGGCGGUCUCGCCGUGGCCCUCCUCUGCGCAGUAGUAAAACACUCGCAACAGGAGCCCGGCGCGGUCCACUGCCGUAAAACCCCCCAACUUUUUAUAGUUGACCUCGAAUCAGGUAGGACUACCCGCUGAACUUAAGCAUAUCAAUAAGCGAGGA
rnacentral:misc_RNA from 1 species